CGCCUCAGCGCACCCUGCCGGGGCGGGCGCGGGCGCACAGUCCCGAGACGCCCACGUCGCCGCCCCAACUCCCCUUGGCAGCCCCCGGGCGGUGGGGCAGAGCCCUCGCCCGCCCCCCAGGCCGGGGUGGAGCGCACUGCGGGCGCCGCGAAGGCGGAGGCGCCAGGACGGCUGCGACCAGCUCCGCUCGCUCUGCUCACCUGCGCCCCUGCCCACGGCGCUCUGCAGUCAGGAGCGCCCCGCCCGGCGAGGAACGCCCCGGGCCCCUCGGGGUCCCCCUGGUCUCUCCUACUUCCCUUCUGGAAGGUGGCCAACACUUCUGGGCCGCCCGGGUGGACCUCAAAGAGAACGUCUUUAAAUGUCCAGUGGUCGGGGGUUCUGUAGCUGACUAGGAGUCAGCGUCCGAAUCGGAACUUCUCAAGACGUCUUUUCAGGGGGCGUCCAGUGAGUUUUUUUUCAGCAAGUUGACUCGCCUGUGGCUGCCUGCUACUACAGCUGGAAAGGUCCAAGCUGAAAUGUGACUAAUCUGAGUUUCUUCCACCAAGCAUAUUAGUUGGGGUGGAGGACUAGAACCUAGAACCCUGAAUUCGUGCCUGGAAGAUACAUAAGCCACAUGCUAUUGAGAUCGUGGUCAUGGGACACCCGCUAACACAAACCUUCUGGUAGGAAGUAUUUGAGAAGACUAGGUCCAACGUCCCCAAGCUAAAAUCCCACUGGCCUAUCGCUGUGUUUGCUCAGAAAAGGAAUCUGGGUUCUUUGGUUUCUGCUUUCCAGUUGACCCUGGUUGCUCCUCUGUUUCAUGGCAUUUUGGGAGUCAGUCUCCCAGAGCAGCGCUGAUUGUAAUAAGAAGCGCGUUCCCUCCCUGGGGGACAGGAGCAGUGGGAGACAAAUGGGCUUGGGAAAGAGCUCCUCCAGAUAAAACUUAUUAGACAGAUACGGGUUGUGGUGGUGGUGGUCGUGUUGUUUUGGUCUUUAUCCUGUUGUACAGUGCCUCAUUUUUUACAAUGUGGGCCAGUAACUAUUUCAUAUCACCUACUCUGACCACCUUCAGGGUUGUUAUGAGGCUCAAAGGAACUGCUGCUGUCUGUGGAAAAAAACAUGCUUUGCAAUUUAUGAAGCACUGGAUAAACAUCAGGAACAGUGUAAAACCAUACUACUUCCUCAAGAAAUACUAGCUGGGUGCCUGUGUGUUGGGCACUGGCUAGAGAUAAGCAGGGGCCUCCUGUGGACAGAAGUAUGGGCAAGGAGCUUUGUUCCUCCCCAAUGUCACCCUCCCACAGCCCACUUGCUAGCCACGGUAAGGCAAGAGAGGGGUGGAGGCCGGCAGGAAGGCAUGUACUGAACUGGACCUCUGGUGGAAUGGCGUCACCCACACUUGGCUUGACUCUUACCAUCAGGGUCCUGCCAACCCUUCAGUGAGACUUUUUCAGAAGAAUCCCUUUUAAAAUGACCUCAAGCUGACCUUCCUGCUGCAGAUUCUACAUAUGGUAUCUGAGACUCACACAGUGUGGUUGGAAGAUAGCACAGUGACCUCCCAGGCACAGCCCUCUGCCAGCCCUCCACUGGCUGCCCUAGGAUGCUGGCCUUCCUCUGAUGGGAGUCGGGCCCAGUCUGCUGUCAGCCAGGAGCAGCCAGCAAGCUCCCUGGGAGGCCUGGAGGAGCCCUUCUCACUCAGCUUGGUGUUCGAUGCCAGUGCCCCCGCCCAUUGUGGGGUGAGGGUGGGACUCUCAGCACAGCCCUGUCCAAAUAAAUCCCCAAAAGCCCUCUUCCAUCUGCAGUCACUUGAGUCUUUUGUAGCCUGUGUGAUUGAGCAUCUAAGCAGUCCUCAGCUAUUUACUUUGAAAUUUCGUAAGUGAUUUUGGUAUCUGUCAUUUCUUGAUGCAUCAGUCACAACUCCCCAUCUAACAUCCCAUUAAAUAAUAUAUAAAACAGAACAAAAACAUUGUGCCAACUUCUUCCAAGAAGAAUUUAAUGUCACUUCCUAAGUUAAGCAGUUGGGCCCUGUCCCAUGACUGUUCAUCUCUGCUCAAUAGUCAUCAAGAUCUGAGAAAGAAGAAAGGAGCCCUGGGGGCCUAAGCUGUGUGUGUGUGUG